CCACCUCUGGAAUGAUUGGGCAGCCAAGCAGCCAUUUCAGGUCACGUCUAGAGAAGUGGGAGGAAGUACAGCUCUUUUUCCCCAGCCUGAGAGCGAGAAGUUUCUUCUGUCUUUCUGAGCUCACAGCGGGGAAUCAGGCUCAUUCUCACCAAAAUCUCUGUGACCUCUGAAACUUUCAGGUGCCUGUGAAUCACCUGGGAUCAUGGCAAACUGCAGAGUCCGAUUCACGGGGUCUGGAUGGGAGUGGUGUGUGAGUGCCUGCUUAGUUGCUUCAGUCAGUCCAACUCUUUGCCACCCCAUCGAACUGUAGGCUCCUCUGUCCAUGGAAUUCUCCAGGCAAGAACACUGGAGUGGGUUGCCCGUGCCCUCCUCCGGGGGAUCUUCCCAACCCAGGGAUCAAACCCAGGCCUCUUGGGUCGAUUGCAUUAGCAGGCAGGUUCUUUACCCCUAGCACGACCUGGGAAGCCGCGGUGGGCUGGUGCUUCUGCGUUUCUCACGAGUCCCGGGACCAUUCCAGUGCUGCUGGGCCUCAGGCCCCACUGUGAAUGGUUAGGAGGUGAACACCGAUAAGGGUCUCAUGGAAGAGUGCACCGAGUCUGCCCGGGGAGGCCCUGGGAGGCCCUGACCUGAGAGGACUGGCCAACCAGAGUAGGCAGAUUCUUUACCAUCUGAGCCACCAUCAGGGUAGGAGCUAAAUGCAAUCACAAGUGUCCUUAUAAGAGGGAGGCAAAGGGAGCUUUGACACAUGGAGAAGAGAAGGCAAUGGGAUGGCAGAAGCAGAGGCUGUAGUGAUGCAGCCACAAGCCAAGGAGUGCCAGCAGUCACCAGAAGCUGGAAGAGGCAUCUCCUGCCAUGUGAGGACACAGAAAGAAGAUGGCCAUCUGUGAACCAGGAAGCCAGUUCUCCCCACACACUGAAUCUGCCAGAACCUGGAUCUUGGACAUCCCAGCUUCCAGAGCUGUGAGAAAUACACAUUCUGCUGUUUAUAAACUGUGUUAUUUUGUUUUAGCAGCUCAAAUGGACUUAGACAUUCUCUCUCACUAUUCUUUCUAAAAUAGCAACCGAGUCCUUUGCUAUGACUCCACUCUUUUUAAAUUCCCUACAUAGCAGUUAAUUAAUGUUUCUUGUGUAUUUGUUGGUGCAUUUAUUACUUAUCUUUUCCUCUUAUCCUAUAA
ensembl:lncRNA